GACGAACGCUGGCGGCGUGCCUAAUACAUGCAAGUCGAACGCAGUGGGGACGGGUGAGUAACACGUGGGUAACCUCCCAUCAGAGGGGAUAACACUUGGAAACAGGUGCUAAACCGAUACUGAUGGAUGGACCCGCGGUGCAUUAGCUAGUUGGUGAGGUAACGGCUCACCAAGGCGACGAUGCAUAGCCGACCUGAGAGGGUGACCGGCCACACUGGGACUGAGACACGGCCCAGACUCCUACGGGAGGCAGCAGUGGGGAAUAUUCGGCAAUGGGCGAAAGUCUGACCCAGCAACGCCGCGUGAAUGAAGAAGGUUUUCGGGUUGUAAAGCACUUUUGGUAGGGAAGCGUUAUCCAAACAAGAAGCCACGGCUAACUACGUGCCAGCAGCCGCGGUAAUAC
rnacentral:rRNA from 1 species